rnacentral:lncRNA from 1 species
CCGGGGAGUUGCUACAGCUACACUGAUGUCCACAUAGUCCCUGUACACAAUCUCUUUGGUCGUGUCAUCGAUUACUGCAUUCACAAUAGGCUGGUCCUGUAGAGCAAAAGCUGAAGCUUUGACAAAAGCUGACAUGAAACCUAAUUUCAGGUUGUGCUUUUUCAGGAAGGGAUCCUUGUGUACAGCUCUCAUCUCCCGGAUGUUGCUCAUAUCAAUCUCAUUGAAAGUGGUCAGCAUGGCACAAGUGUUCUGAGCCUCCUUCAGCCGCUGGGCGAUACGCUGACGCAUCCUAUUCAUUUUCACCCUAUGCUCUGAUCUGGCACCUUUGCUGGGCACUGCCUCCCCAGGAGGUGCUGCCACUGGAGCUGCAGCCGGCUUCACUGCAGACACUGGUUUGCUGUCAAUGGGCUGAGCUGACACAGGUGGCACUGGUGGCAUUGUAGUGGGAAUUGGUGCUGCAGCAGGAGGAGGAGGAGCGGCAGCUACAGGUUCAGGUGCUGCAGGAGGAGGAGGAGGGGCUGCUGCUGGUUUGGCCUUGGCAGGAGCAGCUCCAGUUUUCCUGAGUUUGAACAGAGGUGUCCCCCCUUCCACUUUGCCACCAUCGGGUACCAAAAGGGCUUCAAUCACACCAGCUGCUGGGGCUGGAACUUGCACUGAUGUCUUGUCUGUUUCAAUCUCACACACCACUUCAUCUUCCGCCACUGUGUCUCCAACAGCUUUCUCCCACCUGACAUCUCCUUCUGUGACUGACUCUGCAAAAGCUGGGGUGUUCACCGUAACCACGUCAUCCCUAUGUACUGCUGUGGUUCUGAAGUAACGGACAGUGAAGACACUGGAGCUAUUUACUAUGAGCUUCCUGUUGUCGAUGUAAGCCAGUCCCUGGCUGCCAGCCACACCAGACAGGGAGCGUCUUGCCAGAGUACAGUUGCCCUGCCGGAGGGUGCGCACCGAGCGGCCCAGCGCCCGGCCCAAGCAGCGCGACCGCCACAGCAGCAGCAUCGCGGCGGCGGCGGGAGGAGCUGGAG